rnacentral:lncRNA from 1 species
AUCCGUGUUUUCUGUUAGUAUUUUUAACUGCAUGCCUCACAAAUUUGAGUUUUCUUGAUUUUCAGAUGAUGGAACGCCUAGCAGAAUCCCUCGUCGCUCAUCUACAAGAACAAGCAGUCUUGCCAGCACUCCUGGCCGCAAACUAACUGUGCCCUCUGUCAAUGGUGGGAGCACCUCUCGUAACCGCUCACCCUCAGGAACUAGGUCUGGUUCAAUCUCCCGAGCUUCUAGCAUACCAACAUUAACUGGAGUUGGAACAAGUCGAUCUCGGAUCCCAGUAUUUGUUGGACUGGCACAAAUGGACAGUCCGCGGCCUCUUCUUAGCAUGUCUUCAUCUUCUUCCUCUGGGUAUGGUCCAGUCAAUUCUUGCCUAAUCUGUCUUUUCUGUCGUAGUUAAUUUGGUCGUUUUUUUUUGUCGUGUGUUUGUUCGAUCCUUCUGUCAUCCAAGUUUUGUUUUCGUCCCUUGUCUUCCUUGGUUUUUACUCCAUCGUCUUAUUUUAGAUUUUUAAUUUCAGUUAACUUUGAAAUAAAAACUCCAAAUCAUUGUAUCAUAUUGAGAUUUAUUUUCAGUAUAAGCUUUGACUUUCUAAAAUGUAGCCAAAGGUGUUUUAAUUUUUGUU